UAUGCCCCGCGUCAAGGAUCAACU
rnacentral:miRNA from 1 species